AAAACGACUCUCGGCAACGGAUAUCUAGGCUCUCGCAUCGAUGAAGAACGUAGCAAAAUGCGAUACUUGGUGUGAAUUGCAGAAUCCCGUGAACCAUCGAGUUUUUGAACGCAAGUUGCGCCCGAAGCCAUUAGGCUGAGGGCACGCCUGCCUGGGCAUCUC
rnacentral:rRNA from 1 species